rnacentral:rRNA from 1 species
ACAGGAUUAGAUACCCUGGUAGUCCUUGCCGUAAACGAUGCAUACUUGAUGUGAUCUGGGCUCAACCUGGAUUGUAUCGAAGCUAACGCGGUAAGUAUGCCGCCUGAGGAGUACGCUCGCAAGGGUGAAACUCAAAAGAAUUGACGGGGGCCCGCACAAGCAGUGGAACAUGUGGUUUAAUUCGAUGCAACGCGAAGAACCUUACCCGGGUUUGACAUGCAGGUGAAUAUACCAGCGAUGGUAUAGUCCGAAAGGACAUCUGCACAGGUGCUGCAUGGCUGUCGUCAGCUCGUGCCGUGAGGUGUUGGGUUAAGUCCCGCAACGAGCGCAACCCUUAUUGUUAGUUGCCAACAGGUAAAGCUGGGAACUCUAGCAAGACUGCCUAGGUUAACUAGGAGGAAGGUGAGGAUGACGUCAAGUCCGCAUGGCCUUUAUGUCCGGGGCAACACACGUGUUACAAUGGUAGGUACAAAGGGUCGCCAAACCGCAAGGUGGAGCAAAUCCCACAAAACCUAUCUCAGUUCGGAUUGAAGUCUGCAAUUCGACUUCAUGAAGCUGGAAUUGCUAGUAAUGGCGUGUCAGCUACAGCGCCGUGAAUACGUUCUCGGGCCUUGUACACACCGCCCGUCACAUCAUGGGAGUUGGUUUUACCCGAAAUCGCUGACUCAACCGCAAGGGGAGAAGCGCCUAAGGUAAGGCCGAUGACUGGGAUGAAGUCGUAACAAGGUAACCAAGGGC